AUGUUACUAUUGCAAGUUUUUCUUCUUGCUUCAGUACUUUGGUCUUAUGGAGAGGCCCAAGUACUGGUACAAUCUCAACUAUCCAUCACCAAAGCAGAAGAUAGAACUGCACGAAUUGACUGUCAUGUUUCUGGCAUAACCCUGAGUAAUGCUUAUAUACACUGGUAUCGACAGAGACCUGAUGCAGCUCUGGAACGGAUUCUCUAUUUUUCAUCAGGAACACCUGUCUUUGACCAGGAUUCUGGGAAGGAAAAGUUUGAGGCAGAUAAGCAGCUCUCCAAGUCGACAUGUACCCUGACAGUAAAGAAAACAACAACGAGUGAUUCAGCUACCUAUUACUGUGCCGCUUGGGAUCACACAGCAUUAAAAGACCAUUCACAUUCUGUACAAAAACUUACUUUGUAUUCUCAACUACAGUCUUUCAAAUAUAUGAAACCACAGCUACCUCCUAAUCCUGCUUCUUAUGAUAGAACCAGAUGGAGAAACCCCUUACUGGUUUCUGCAACCAGAGAUAAAAAGCAACAGAACUGUUGCUCUCACAAAUUUUGCAAACAAGAUCCCACCUGUGUCUGCCAAACAAACAAUAAGAUCACAUAG